ensembl:lncRNA
CUGGCUGGGCAGAUGAUAGAACAAAAGGGCAGCAGACAACGUGAGCAGAGGCAGCCAAGUUUCCUGCCCAGGCAAACAGAGAGGAUAACAGGAGAGGGGGAAGGAGAGAAAAGAAAAUGCAAACUCAUUGUUAAAGAGGAAGAAACCAAGCUGACAUGUGCUGUGGGCUGUUCUAGAACUCUGCACAAAUUGUUCUGAGAGAACCCAGGAAGUUUGGGGAAAACCGGGCCAGAAGCACAACUCUGGGCACGAGAGAGAACAAGGAGAAGCUUUCCCAGCGGAGGCCGGGAUGCAGGCCAUCACUGUGGUAGUGAAGACUCCCAACAGAGGAGUCCAGCCGGGGGCUGCCCAGCUGCUUCACCCUACAUAGACCUGCAUCAGCCUGGAUGAGGGCCAUCUUUGUGCCAUCGUCUGUCCCCAGGUGAGGGAGGAUGGGUUGGGAGGAAUUCACCUGCUAGAAAAGCCUCCUUUUCUAACUCAUCUUCCUGGAAAGUGAAAGUCACUCAGUCAUGUCUGAAUUAUUGUGACCCCCAUGGACUAUACAGUGAAUUCUCCAGGCCAGAAUACUGGAGUAGCCGUUCCCUUGUCCAGGGGAUCUUCCCAACCCAGGGAUCAAACCCAGGUCUCCCACAUUGCAGGUGGAUUCUUUAUCAGCUGAGCCACCAUCUUCCUGGAGGGGCAUCUUUAUUCUAAUUUGCACAGACACCAUCAUGCAGCUUGAUUAGAGCCAUACACUGUGAAAAUGUGUGUGUGCUCAGUCAUUUCCAACUCUUUGAAACCCCAUGGAUUGUAGCCAGCCAGGGAUUUCCCAGGAAAGAAUACUGGAGUGGGUUGCCAUUUUCUCCUCCAGGGGAUCUCCCCAACCCAGGGAUUGAACCCGGGUCUCCCGCAUCUUCUGCGUUGGCAGGUG